AUGGACCUACGGGGGGCAGCAGUGGGGGAUAUUGCACAAUGGGGGAAACCCUGAUGCAGCGACGCCGCGUGAGUGAGGAAGUAUUUCGGUAUGUAAAGCUCUAUCAGCAGGGAAGAAAAUGACGGUACCUGACUAAGAAGCCCCGGCUAACUACGUGCCAGCAGCCGCGGUAAUACGUAGGGGGCAAGCGUUAUCCGGAUUUACUGGGUGUAAAGGGAGCGUAGACGGUUAAUCAAGUCAGAAGUGAAAACCCAAGGCUCAACCAUGGGACUGCUUUUGAAACUGUCAAACUAGAGUACGGGAGA
rnacentral:rRNA from 1 species